ensembl:lincRNA
UAGCAAGGAAACAGGAAGUGUUCUCUCUUUUUUCCCGUUCACCUCCUCCAGUGGCAGGAUGUGAGCCACUGGCAAGGAGGAACGCCAAUAAGGAGUCCGAUAAGAUAAGUCUUAUAAAAUAUAUAGAUUUAUGAUAAUUAAGACUGAGCUAGCUCACAUGUGGUGGUGGGGCUCAGGCGGCUUAUGGCAGAAAGAUUUAUCAUAACAGAAUGGUGUCAGUGAGCGGGAUGACCCAUGCCCCAAGGUUCUCAGUGAAAGAGAAAAACCUGCCGCCACAGCCUGCCCUGUUGGGCUGCUGAGAGGCAUCGGAGCAGCUUCCAUAGGCUCACACUGUCCCAGCACUCUUGGGGGUUGGACUCCAGCACUCCCGAGAUGGCCUGCAGACCUUGAAGGUCCUAGGGUUAGGAUUCUGAGCUCUCACCACCCCAAGCUGUCUUCCUGCCUUCUGGUGACUGGUCAAACAGAGGCAGAACCCUGGCAGUUGGAAGUAGUGUUACAAACUUCCAUGUAAACUUUAUAAAAGCUUAAAAAGGGAUUUUAGCAGCAAAAGAUCAGAGACAAGCACGACUUCUUGUUAGCAGCAUUUUCUUGGGUGGUCUCUGUUUUGCUAGAGACAAGUAGAGACUUGAGUGGUUGCUUUAAGAGAGAUUUCCUGACUCAGCAAAAGCAGAAAAAAAAUGAAGACAGUGGCUAAGAAAGCCGCCACUUAAAUUUUGGUGGUGUUGUUUAACAGUUAAAAGACUGGUAGCCAGAAAAAGAAAGACAGUUCCAGAUAAAGAAAAACCUCUAAAGGUUUAUGCUACAUUUAAAAAUAUAUCUAGUCUUCUGAGAGAAAAAAUAGCAGGAGAAAAUAGAGUAGCUGGUUGUGGUGGCAAACGCCAGUAGGAUUUGCUGAAGGAAGCAGAGGCAGGCAGAUUUCCAAAGAGAAACCCUGUCUCGGGGGAAAAAAUGAAAGAAAGAAAAUAAAAAUAAAGUAAUAAAAAAGCCACAUAAAGAUGGAAAAUACACAGAGAAUCUGGAUACUUUAUGCCAUAUUGUUGUCUUUAAAUUGUUUGAUUGCCGAGGAAAGAAUUAUCGCUGCUAAAAUACAUUUGAUUAUAAAUGCUGCUAAAUUAAUCCAACUUAUACAUUUUAAAAAUGCUUUGACUUCAGAAUUUAAGUCUAAGGACAGGCUACUUAGAAAUAAAGGCUUUGCUUGUAUUCCCACAGAAAAUGUAAAGCUGUGGAUUCCUUCCAGACUAAUAUGCUUUGGUCAAGCAAGACCCCCUGAAGCUGAGACGAUACAUCCUUACAGACUACAAAAACAAGGACUUGGGAAAAUGUGAUCAGAAGUGAAGCAAAGAGGGUAAAAUGAAAAUGGCUGCAUCACUUAAUAAGAUACUGAAGAAGAAUUGGGAGUUCUUAAAAGCAAGAAGCCUCUCCUGGAAACUCCUGCUUCUCAAGGCGGUAUGCUUCUCAGACAUGAAGCUGAACCAACCAUCUGUCUUCUGACCUCCCUUGCAAGUCCUCCAGCUCUGCUGCCCAGGUCGAGUGCUUUUCCUACAACUAUCCAUCUGCACCUACUCUGUAAAGUGAAGACUUGUAUUUUCUCAUUGCUGUAACAAGGCAAAAUCAUUUUAGAAAAUAGGUUUUCUCAAGAAAUUCAGAGUGCUGUAUUAAUCUUUUGUAGACAAAAUACAAAAUAAAGUCAUUGCUGUCACAUUUAUUUUUUUCAAAAAAGAGAGAGAGAGAGAGAAAUGUGCAAAAUUAUUCAAGGUGACAGAAGCACCUUCAACUCUCAUAUGCUAGCAAUGCAAAUUCUUUAUGGAGUGGCCUUGGAUCACAACAGUGAAAACAAUCUGUUGUAACACAUUUAGGCUACUAUAAGACUGCCAUGAAAAAGCCAGAGGAAAAAGAACUUUUAUUAAACUUUCAUAAUCUACAAUUUUAAAAAUUGAAUACUACAUGAGAAAAUAUUAUUCUCUUUUUGGAGAAUGUUUCCAACAAUGAAAUAAAAAUAUCUCUAUUCUACCAAAGAUUGAUCAAACAAGAUUUAAGAUUUAAAAAUAUUAAUGUGAAAUAUUUGUUUGUUUUAUUUAUAUUUUGAAAUAAAAUAUUAUUUUGGGGCUAUAUGACUAAGGUAAACAAAAUUAAUUAAUUUUUAAUUAACUAGUGAAAAACAUUAACAAUUAAAAAUGUUCAAUCUAGGGCUUCCCAAACAUACAAAUAUUGGAAGCAUGGUAGCAUGGUACAAUCAUGAGAGCACAUCACAAACAUCACCCAGAACAUGUUAGUAUACAUACAGUACUCAACACACAUUGCAAUAUAGGAAAAUGUUUUAACUAUUGCCUACAGUGGUUAACCUCUUUGAUCCAAAUAAUUUUUUCAUGUAAACUGACUUCUAUAGUCAGACUUUCAGGACUGCCACCCCCCUAAUAAUGACAUGGAAACUUAUUUUUCAUUAUAAAGCUAUGCCUUUAGCUUAGGCUUGUUCCCAACUAGCUCUUAUAACUUCAAUUAGCCUGUUUCUAUUACUCUAUGUCCUUUCUACAAAGUGGCUUUUUACCUCUCUUCCAUUCUGCUUGUCCAGCUCUUUUUAUGUCUCACUGGUAUCUUUCAUGCACCUACAUUCUUCCCAAGUUAUUCUCUUUUCCUGGAAGUCCUGUCUAUUCUCUCUUGCCUAGCUAUUGGCCAUUCAGUUCUUUACUAAAACCAUCAGAAUAAAACAGUGACACAUUUUCACACAGGCUUCUUAGCAGUUCCCAGCAAUUAUGACUUUAUAUUGGUUUCAGCAAACUGGUGAACCUGACUUAGCACAGCAUAGUUCAUUCUGCUCUAUUACAGCCAUACUAAAAUAAUAGCACUAUGUUUCUUCGUGUGGCAUCCUAUUUCUACUGGAAAAAAAUACCUAAGUGAGACCUUCUGCUUUGUCAGCAAGGCCUAGUUCAAAUGUCAGUUUUAUGCUAUUAUAGGGCAAUUUAUAACUGUAUUUCUGCAUUUGCCAUAUACUACACAUUAAUCAGUGAUAAAAAUAAAAUUUUGACCUUAGUUGCUUAAAAUCAAUUUAAUGUUAUUUUAUCUCAUCUAAUUCUUUUCACCAUAUUAACGAAGAAAAUUCUAUUUACAUUUAUACUAUACAAUUGUUCUCAAGACAUAUGCUGAAAAACUAAUCUGAAAGUCCUAAGAAUGUUGAUGUAAUACAAAUAAAUGUUCUCUUUAAGAGUUUAAAAUAUAGUUAGAAAAAAAACUAAAACACAGGAAGAAGGAAUGAAGGAAAGAGAUAGCUCAUGUGCUAAAGGCUUUGUGCUCAACAUAACUGAAAAUUUGAGUUUCAAGAAUUCCUAAGUUGUAUGAACAACAUGAAACUCAGUCCAUAUUUUACAAACCAAGGUUCUAGCUGAGGCCCCUCUGACUUCAGAAUCCCUCCCUGCUCUUUUCUGUGAACUCCAGGAGCACAUAUCAGUAGUUGUUUGGCUGGAGGGAAAUGUAUGCUGCAGAACAAAAGUUUAAUGACGGCAGGAGAAGACUAGCUGGGCUGGGGGAAGUGUAGCAUGUCAAGGAGAUGCUUCUGUUUAUUUUACAAAAAAAAGAUCAUUAAUAAAAGACGAGGACAGUUUAUUCAGAUUUCAGCAUUUAUGCUUUGGCUAUUAUGAUCAUAUAUGUAUAACUAAUAGUCUAAAUUCUAAGUAGACCACUAUAAUGUCAGAAAAAUAUUUUUACAGGGUAUAUAUCCACCAUAUUAUUGGAUAUUCUCCCAAAGUAUGAAUAUGAAAAAUUCUCAGAAAAAAAACUAUAGUAAGCAAAUAUAGAAUUUUCCCAAAAUAAUGGAGUUUACCUAAUUUAUGAAAGUGCUGUUGCAUGUAUGCACAUUUCUCUGAGUAGUGAUGUGAUGGUUGGUGUUGUUAACUUGGUGGAAUCUAGAAUCACAAGAUUCUAGACAGAGGGAGAGGGCUAGGAAACCCACUAAUCUUUGAAACCUCAAGCCCACCAGAGUGACACACCUUCUACAAGACCUCACUUCCUAAUCUUCCCAAACAAUUCUAUCACCUGGGAACCAAACAUUCAAAUGCAUGAGCCUAUGGGGGACAUUUUCAAUCAAUACCACAUAAACCAUUUGCUUGGCUACUUGGUUUCAGUAUGGUUUAGCCAAACUGUUUACAGAAACUAGUAAGAUGCAAAAUGCUGGGGAGAAAGUGAAAAUAGUGUAGUAAUUAUUCCACAAAAAAAUCUACAUUCUGUCUCCCAGGUUCCUCACAUGGUUAUGCUGUUAUCUUUUCUUCGUUUGGCAUCAGCUGUUCUCUCUUUGGGGUGACUCUCCUUUGUAAAUACCCUGCUACCUGGCUGGAAUUGCAUUCUCCUUCCCUCUUGUCCAUUUGCCUUUCUCAACAGUUCCUUUAUUAAACAAUGCUCAAAUGCCCCAGCUUACACAUACCAUCUGCUUUCUUCAGAGACCCUGUCUGAUACACACAGUUACUUAAAAGAAGAAAAUAUGCAUAACAAGUAGGAAAGAUAAACAGAUUGGAAUGGGGAAAAUCAUGGCUUGAUGGAAAGGCAAACUACACUGCAGCUAUUUCCCAUGGAUCUCUUUAGUAAUGCAGUAGAAACCAGCUGAGAACACUAGUGGCACUCAGUAACACAAGAGGCACUAGUGUCAUAAAAGGGACCAGCAGUAGCUAGUUCCAGGGUCUUGCUGCAGAUUUCUCCUCCACACUCCUUAAAUCUGCAUGUGAACCUAUCAGUGACAGAUAUCAUACUUUCCUUGGCAUUUUAUUGUUCCAGGGCAUUGUAAUUAGCUUCAUCCCAUGUCUGAUCUUGAAAAGAAAAAUGUCCCUGCAUUGUUUUUAGGGACCUCUGACACUGGGACAGUGACUGGAUGGUAGAAUCUUUGUAGCUAUACUUUGUAUAUGGGCUUACACUUCCUUAGCUCUUAGUUCAAUGUCAUACUUACAUAAUUAGUUUUCAGGCAAGCACUAAGGGCUUAGAAUGAGGAAGAUCUUAGUCCUGAAAACUCUCAGUCAUUAAACAUGAAUAUAGAAAAAAGAACUUAUUAAUGCAAGAUAUUUGCAUUCCCUGUACAUUUCUCCUUAAGCUUGCAUGUAUUAAGGCUUAUGGUAAGAUGUCUAAAU